GUGAUUUUGGCAGACAAAUGUGCCAACAUUCAACUUGUGAAAGUAGGAACAAUGUGCUAUACACUGGGAGAAAUCACUCAUCAAAUCAAAACAAGAUUACAUGAUGUACUUUGAAACUGUUUUCUGUUGCAUCAAAUGAUCAAUAUGAACUCGAAAGUUCCAAACAGAGAGAACAGUAAUUUCAUUUUUACUGAUGUAUGGUCACACAUUUAGCUGCACAGAUAUUCACAAUGACUUUACGUUGAUUAGCUUUUCUGGUUUACUAGUUGUUGCCCUUAUCUCCUUCUGGUUUCAUCCACGACUAAAGCUUUUUAAGAGCAAAGAUCAUGGCGACUCGUUGAAUAGCAUCACCUUGCCGCAUACUGGACAGUUGUCACUUCUCUCCAUCCACUCAUAUAUGCAACCCAAGUGGAAGUGGUGAGAGCAUUUUGUCAUUAUUUUUGGGUUUUCUUCAGUAUAUUCUUCAAGACAUGUCGGGCAGACAUCUUCAUCUUCUGAAGAAUAACAAAUUUGAGUAAACUCAGUAGUUGUUUUAGCUGUUGAGAAUUUCAAUGACUUGGAAUUAUAUUCUUUUGAUCCUUCUUCACAUACAGACUCCUUCCAUUUAUUGCCCAUACCCAAAGAUUCAGAAUCAUCAUCAAUAUCACUUCUUCGUAGUGGUUCAGUUUCCUCAUGUGAAUGACUUGAGCCUUUCUCCCUUCUUGAGACUAGCCCAUCACGUUGCAAGCGGAAGUAUCUUGGAUCAGCAUCGUAAGGAAGUGGUCUUGGAGGAGAGCGGUACAUAUCAGAUAGUGAGUUAUCAAGGGAUGCUGAGGAGCUCAAAGAUGUUGUACCUUGAGUGGAUGAAGCAAUGGCAUGUUGUUCUCCUCUAUGAAACAAUGAUGCAUACAUAUGCAAGAAGUUUUGAACAAAACAUCGAAGGCAUAAGCAGUUCCUAUAUAUUGAGCUGUUUGGAUUGGCAAAAUCUUCACAUUCAUCUCGCAAGCAGCAACAAACUGCACCCAUGAUGAUGUCUUCAAAUAAAUGUUCGUAACUCAAAAACCUUCCACGGCUAUCAUUGUCAAUCCUCCAUUCUUGUGAUUAGAUGGUUAUGGAUGCAAAACUUGUAAGAAUAUAACUUACGGAAAAUGCAAUUGGGCACCCUCUCUCUUCAGGAAACCCUGAAUGAGUUGAUGCCCUUCAUGACCAAGACCUUCAGAAAAAAUUUCAAAAACUGUUGUGUAUCACCGUGAAAAUCUCUGAAAAUAGCGGAGAUUGCGGGGAUAAUAGAGAGAAAGAUAAAAAUAGAUAAUUUCAGAGGUCAAAGGGUUUCUUUUUUAUUU
rnacentral:misc_RNA from 1 species